AUGAAGUUUCGUGCCGUUCCGACCUCGUUUGAUACGGUUAUGGUUAACCACACGGCCCCUCGGGCCCGACCCGAGCCCAGUCAACGUUUUGACCCGAUCAAAUCGGCCCGUGACCCGAAACGACCCUACUUGGGCCCUACAACAGCCACGUAAAGUUUCGGGAUGAUCCGACGUUCUUUCAUGGGGUUACGGACAAUCCACGCCAAACAAGCGUCACGGGCCGACCGAGCCGGGCCAACGGGCCCUCGGGACCCGAAAACUGAAUUUUUUUUCAUCCAAACCCAUUAAAACACGUUACCGAGGUCUCACGCAAAAUUUCAUGCCAAUCCAACGUCGUUUGAUGGGGUUUUGAGAUAUUAUGAUUCCUCAAAAAUUUAAUGUCUGUUCCUGUCACUUAGCUUUUUGUGCAAAAUGUAUAUAUAGGGGAGGGGUGGGUGUUGAGCAGCCCAUGCCCGGGCAAGCAUGCCAGCGCCCAAGCCAAAGGAGGCUGGUGGCGUGCGUAUAACAGCUCAAAUGCCCCAACGAUGACCGAGAACAAGCGCCCAUCUCCCCUCCUUCCCCCCCACCAAGCGCCCCUCCCCCCCCAUGUUGCCUGCCCACUCGCACAGCUACUCGUGAUUUCAUGCCCAGCGACUAGUGAAUGUGCCUCGACGACCAGCAAACCUCGAAAAUUAUGAUUCCUCGUAAAAUUAAUGUCUGUUCCUGUCACUUUACUUUUUGUGCAAAAUGUAUAUAUAGGGGAGACCAGGGGCUUGAGCAACCCCUGUGCCCAAGCAAGGGUCAGAUGAAGCACACGAGACGCGAGGUUUAAAGCCUAUACAAGCAAGGCGUCUGUCUCCCCAAGCCCCAUUGCCUAUAAAACAAGCCCGAUGCCUUGUAAAUGCCCCACACGAUGCCUAUAAACGACAACGAUGUUUGCUAGUUAAUCGAUCGACGCCCACACCUUGCAGCAUGUUGCCUAGUAAACAAGCCAUGCUGCCUUGGAAGCGCCCCACAUCAUGGCAUGUUGCCUAGCACGCUGCCCUUGUUUCCAGCACGGCGACCUGAAAGCGUGGCCUGACGACGUGCUUGCCUUCGAAAAUUAUGAUUCCUCAAAAAAUUAAUGUCUGUUCCUGUCACUUUACUUUUUGU
rnacentral:rRNA from 1 species